rnacentral:rRNA from 1 species
GACGAACCGUGCGAGCGUUGUUCGGAAUCACUGGGCUUAAAGGGCGCGUAGGCGGGCUGCCGCGUCCGGGGUGAAAUCCUCCCGCUCAACGGGAGAACGGCCUCGGAUACGGGCGGCCUCGAGGGGGGUAGGGGCAUGCGGAACUGUGGGUGGAGCGGUGAAAUGCGUUGAUAUCCACAGGAACUCCGGUGGCGAAGGCGGCGUGCUGGACCCCAUCUGACGCUGAGGCGCGAAAGCCAGGGGAGCGAACGGG